ensembl:misc_RNA 7SK 7SK RNA
GGGUGUGAGGGUGAUCUGGCUGCAAUAUCUUGUCAUCCCCUUAAUUGCAGGAGUUGAUUGGGCUGAUCCGACUGCCUAGGCAGGUGUCCCCUUCCUCCGUGGCCACUCACUCCUUAUGCAUCUCUCCUGAGGCUGCUGCAGGGUGGAGUAGGACAAGCACCCUACUAGAGGAGAACGGGUUCCUGGUUCCUUGGUCAGGGGUAUAGGAGGUGCUGCACUCCCCUGCUAGAAUCUCCAGACAAGUUCUCAAGAAUCCUGGUCUGCCCUGAUGAACACCUUAAAACCCUUCAGUGUACAAAGAAGGAUGCAUCAGCUGAGAAGGAACAACUGGGGAACCAGGAUGCAGAAGUUCCCUAGAGU